AAUCUUCCAGUGUUCUCUGCAAACACAUGCACUAGCGUGGGUAACUGCAGUUGGAUUUUAGCGAAGUCUGCUCGGUUUGGUGAAAACAGUGCGGUGCGUCGGGAUGGAGAGAGCAGCAGUAAGGAGAAGCAGGGAGCAGCGCGUGCUGCUUGCCCCAGAGCCUUCCCGCUGCCGGCUGGAGCGCCUGAGCUAACGCGUGCAGGCCGCGCGGGAGGAAAGGCCUCGGCAGCGCGGCUCCUCCUCGCCUUGGGGCACGAGCCGUGGUCUCGCGCACAGCUGUGAAGGACCGAGGCUUGCGCGGGAGUGUGAAACGCCCUCACCGGCCUGAAAGGGGGUAAGGAGGAACGCAGCCGUGCCGUCUGACUUCCUUGAGUUUGAAUUUUCUCCAAGUGAGUAAGUGAAGCAGAACAGGAAGUCUUGAAAGCAUUUGUUCUCUUGCUUGUCUAAACUUGGCUGCCCUGCAGUGCUAAAAUCCCAGAUCAACAGCUGAAGAGAGGAUAGCUGUCCCAAGACAAAUGAGUGCAUGGACAAAGUAAUUCAUUGUGAAUGGUGCAUUGCUGCAGUAAGAAAGUGAAGGACAACAUCAGACCAACUGUGAUCUGACCAGCAGCAGUGCUACCUCAUCAGACUGCAGCAGACAGCAAACAAGGAAGCGGGCACAUUUGCCAUUUGUAUGAAUAGCUUUGCAAGGCAACCCAACUCCUUUCAAAAAGAGGGUGGCUGCACGGGACCAGCCUUUUGGAAAUUGUCACUGGAAGGCUCCAGCGCCCAGCCCUGGUCUGUGAAUUAUUUGGGAGAGUGAGAAGUGGCCUAAGCCAGGAACGUUCCCUUGAGUACUUUAACAGUAUUACAGGGCCAUAUUUGUUGCAUUGGGAAUGGAAUAAUUAACUAGUAGAGAUGUAGCCCCAAGUACUGUUUGGAAGAAAUUUCACUGCCUUGCAUAAACAUGAUAGUCACUAAUAAUUAACACUUCGGUUUGUGUUUUCAAUGGUUAAUGAAAGUAGACAUCAUAAAGUGCUUUGAAAUCUAAUGAUAAUAAGCUACAAUGCUGUCUGAUGUUAAUUAUGGAAGUAAAAAUAUAUUUGAGACCUAUGUUGCUGUACCAUCAUUGCAAGUGACACAAAUUCUUCUUUAGAUGGUUUCUUUGUUGCUGCUUUUGCUCAGAUCCCUCAGGAUACUUUAUCGCUCAGCUUACAAGCAUUGUUCCAAAUGUUUGUUGUUUUUUUUCCUGAUGAAUGGAAUAGCUAGGAAAUGAACGCUUCGAACUGACAGUUGAAUCUUGACAUCCCUGAGAACCUCAUGUGUUUGCACUACUUUGUAGGAAAUUGCA